GAUGAGAGAGUGCGGCGCGAGCGCUCGAGUGUGCCGCGCGCGGAAGCGGGCGCCCCAAAUACACCGCGCGCCCAACUUGUUAUAGCGCGCGCGCGGUUUUUGCGCGCCCGCUGGAGCCUCCCGCCGCGUCGCGCGCGCUAAAACGGCCUAAUUUGCGACGCGACGCUAGUUUAGCGCGACUGUUGGAGAUGCUCUAAAAGUCAGCAGAACAUUAGUCUUCUUACAAAGAAACAACAGCAAAAAAGAAAAAUUAUAAUGAGAUUUGAAGAAUUCCAUAAGCUUGACAUCAACACAUGUCACCAGCCUCCGGUACCAUCACAUCAAUCACCAAAUUAAAAAAUAUAAGGGGUCACGUUAAGGAUGUCGUAGACCGGGGCACUAACACGAGCUGUUUGGACCUCACGGGCCAAUCUGAUGCCCGUCAAGCCACCUCCUGAAGCGCCAAGACUCGCUAGUAUGAAGAAAGGAACCCUCCAAGACUUAGAGUAUCCCAAGGAUGUCUCUAUAUUCGGCAUGUCUCCAACCAACUUAAACAUGUAACUUAGCUUCCCCUGGAUACAUUCUUCUUAGGAUUUAGAGAUUACACAAUGAUCUCGAGGUUGAUCAUCACUCUGUACUCGAUACCCCAUUAUCAAUACAAUCAAAGCAAGAUAUAGGAUUUUACCUCUUCGAGAGGGCCCGAACCUGGGUAAUCAUUGUCUUCCUACUCUCCUUGUUACGAUCACUAGUGCAACCAUCGUGCUAUACAAAUAGGUUUUGCCCCCUUCCUACAACAUAAUUCUAAACCGUCACCUUGCCCGUGUCUGUGUGGGUGAUAGGGGGCCUAUCUUACACAGUAUAGAUAAAUCAUUGUGAUGCCUCCAUCUGGUCACACACGCUAGGCAAAAAUAAAGCGUGUGCGAUUAAGAGGAACAUCACAAACAGACAUAUUGAAGAAAUCGUGUGAGAUAUGCUUCGCAUCCCA
rnacentral:lncRNA from 1 species